rnacentral:rRNA from 1 species
UACGAAGGGGGCUAGCGUUGUUCGGAAUUACUGGGCGUAAAGGGCGCGUAGGCUGUGCUGUAAGUCAGGCGUGAAAGCCCCGGGCUCAACCUGGGAAUUGCGCUUGAUACUGCGGCGCUGGAAGGUGGGAGAGGAUGGCGGAAUUCCCAGUGUAGAGGUGAAAUUCGUAGAUAUUGGGAAGAACACCGGUGGCGAAGGCGGCCAUCUGGCCCAUUUUUGACGCUGAGGCGGAAAGCGUGGGGAGCAAACAGG